CUGAGGGUUGCCAGGUAAUGAUUUUUCACACGUUUCACUUACCAAUCCCUGAGAGAGAGAGAGAGAGAGAGAGGCAAGGUGGAGGAGGGCAGAAAGAAGAUAUUUCCAGUUCACUUCCGGCCAGCGAUCAGCGAGCUUUACACUUUCAGGUUGAAGUAAUCACCGCUGCGGGGAGUGAGGCACCCGAACAUUGCGUCUCCCGGCUUUGUCCACGCCCCCGCUAUCUCUGCCCCACGUGGCCUGAACAGUGACGCCAGCCUGGAGGGUCAGAAGCAGCGAGGACAUUAUUGUCACCCUGCCUCCCUGCCCACGGCCCCGCGAUCCGUCCCCAGCGUGGCCUGAUGGAGAGGGACGCCGGCCUGGAGCACUUGAUAUAGUUAUUGUCUCCCGCCACCCCUGUCCUACACUGUGCUGUCUGGUGGACGUGUUUGUCUGUUGAUGUGUACGUGUGUUCUAAGACUUCAAAAGACUCCUCCCAAUUUGAGUUUAGUUUUCGUUUUUUUUUUUUUUUUUUUUUUUUGCCGGAAUUGGUCCCACCUUGUCUCCGGAGAGUCUGCGAGGUGUUGCUAUGACCUGGGUGUUUAUUAAAAAAAAUAAGACUUUUGGGGCUGGAAAUAGUCUUGCCUUGUCUCCGGAGAGUCUGCGUGGUAUUAUGACCUGGUGCUUAAUAAAGUGGAAUUUAUUUUUGCUGGAAGUGGUCCAAUCUUGUCUCCGGAGAAUCUGCGAGGUGUUGUUAUGACUUGGGUGUUUAUU